UACGUAGGGUGCAGGCGUUAAUCGGAAUUACUGGGCGUAAAGCGUGCGCAGGCGGUCUCUUAAGACAGGUGUGAAAUCCCCGGGCUUAACCUGGGAACUGCGCUUGUAACUGAGAGGCUUGAGUGUGCCAGAGGGGGGUGGAAUUCCACGUGGUAGCAGUGAAAUGCGUAGAGAAUGUGGAGGAACACCGAUGGCGAAGGCAGCCCCCUGGGGUAAC
rnacentral:rRNA from 1 species